AGAGAGAGAGAGAGAGAGAGAAUGAGGUUCUUUUCAUCCAUCUGUUGCUGCUUCUAUUGCCUUUCCCAUGUAUCUGAUGAUGAAGUAAGGAUGCAGAGGCAGCCUCUCAGGGCAAAACUCAGUGAAUCAGCAGCUCAAACACCGAUUCUGGUUCCAUACUUGCCUGCUAAAUCCAGUCUCUCUUGUUUAUAGGCAGUCAUCUGUGUUAAGAAAGCCUGAAAACGAUGCAUCUGCCAAUAUGUUUGCUUCUAUGUACCUGCUUACUUAAAAACUAAUACAAUCCAAAGUCAUCAAUAUUCUAUUCUCUCAUGCUAUUUUAGCUUGGAUUGUGAUGAUUUCAAUUUCCUUCCUCACCCAUAUCAUUUUGUGAGAAGUGAUUUUCACUUCUUCUUGCAGUUAAUGACCAGAUCUAACAA
rnacentral:misc_RNA from 1 species